AGCAUGGCUGUUCUGGAAAGAAAGGCAUUUCUAACCAAAAACCAAAACAAAACAAAACAAAGAAGCAGAAAAGCCUUUAGAAGUUUCCAAAACUCUGGUUGCCAUGAAAGAAAUUCUGCAAGCACAAAUAAAAACCAGCCACAGACUGAAACUGCACUCAACCCACUCAGGAACUCUGCAACUGUGGGCUCUUUAGCACUUAGGAGCUGAUCCACAGCUUGCUGACUUUGAGAAUCAAAAAGACAUGUUCAAAUUUUCAACAAUAUUCUCAGAAGACAAAUGAGCGCAAGAACUCCUACUGCUGAAGACAUCUGUACCUAGCAGAAUAUUGUGCUCCUGUUAUUGAAAGGGUGUGAACCUCCAGAAAUACCUCUACAUUGUGGAUAAUGUUAGAAGAAUGCAUCAGACAUGAACCACCUACAAAGAACAUUUUGUGGUGGGAACAGUUUUAUGAUUUCUU
rnacentral:lncRNA from 1 species